rnacentral:tRNA from 1 species
UCGCUGGUGGUUCAGUGGUAGAAUUCUCGCCUGCCACGCGGGAGACCGGGGUUCGAUUCCCCGCUAGCGCA